UAGGGAAUCUUCCACAAUGGACGCAAGUCUGAUGGAGCAACGCCGCGUGAGUGAAGAAGGGUUUCGGCUCGUAAAGCUCUGUUGUUGGUGAAGAAGGACAGGGGUAGUAACUGACCUUUGUUUGACGGUAAUCAAUUAGAAAGUCACGGCUAACUACGUGCCAGCAGCCGCGGUAAUACGUAGGUGGCAAGCGUUGUCCGGAUUUAUUGGGCGUAAAGCGAGUGCAGGCGGCUCGAUAAGUCUGAUGUGAAAGCCUUCGGCUCAACCGGAGAAUUGCAUCAGAAACUGUCGAGCUUGAGUACAGAAGAGGAGAGUGGAACUCCAUGUGUAGCGGUGAAAUGCGUAGAUAUAUGGAAGAACACCGGUGGCGAAGGCGGCUCUCUGGUCUGUUACUGACGCUGAGGCUCGAAAGCAUGGGUAGCGAACAGGAUUAGAUACCCUGGUAGUCCAUGCCGUAAACGAUGAGUGCUAAGUGUUGGGAGGUUUCCGCCUCUCAGUGCUGCAGCUAACGCAUUAAGCACUCCGCCUGGGGAGUACGACCGCAAGGUUGAAACUCAAAGGAAUUGACGGGGGCCCGCACAAGCGGUGGAGCAUGUGGUUUAAUUCGAAGCAACGCGAAGAACCUUACCAGGUCUUGACAUCUAGUGCCAUUUGUAGAGAUACAAAGUUCCCUUCGGGGACGCUAAGACAGGUGGUGCAUGGCUGUCGUCAGCUCGUGUCGUGAGAUGUUGGGUUAAGUCCCGCAACGAGCGCAACCCUUGUUAUUAGUUGCCAGCAUUAAGUUGGGCACUCUAAUGAGACUGCCGGUGACAAACCGGAGGAAGGUGGGGAUGACGUCAAGUCAUCAUGCCCCCUUAUGACCUGGGCUACACACGUGCUACAAU
rnacentral:rRNA from 1 species